rnacentral:ncRNA from 1 species
CAACCUCAACUCAUAUGGGACUACCCCCUGAAUUUAAGCAUAUUAAUUAGGGGAGGAAAAGAAACUAACAAGGAUUUUCUUAGUAGCGGCGAGCGAAAAGAAAACAGUUCAGCACUAAGUCACUUUGUCUAUAUGGCAAAUGUGAGAUGCAGUGUAUGGAGCGUCAAUAUUCUAGUAUGAGAAAUUAAUGAUUUAAGUCCUUCUUAAAUGAGGCCAUUUACCCAUAGAGGGUGCCAGGCCCGUAUAACGUUAAUGAUUACUAGAUGAUGUUUCCAAAGAGUCGUGUUGCUUGAUAGUGCAGCACUAAGUGGGUGGUAAACUCCAUCUAAAACUAAAUAUAACCAUGAGACCGAUAGUAAACAAGUACCGUGUGGGAUCCCC